AGGGCAGUAGCUCUAAUUGGUAGAGCGGCGGACUCCAAAUCCGUAGGUUGUGGGUUCGAAUCCCUCCUGCCCUGCCA
rnacentral:tRNA from 2 species